AGAGUUUGAUCCUGGCUCAGGAUGAACGCUGGCGGCGUGCUUAACACAUGCAAGUUGCGCGGGGAUUUGAUGAUGAGACUUCGGUGGAUUUGUUAGAUCCUAGCGGCGGACGGGUGAGUAAAGCACAAGGACGUGUCCGAGCGAGGGGGACAACUGCGGGAAACCGUAGCUAAUACCCCGUAAGCCGAGAGGUAAAAGCAGCAAUGCGCGAGCGGAGCGACUUGUGUCCUAUCAGGUAGUUGGUGAGGCAACGGCUCACCAAGCCGAAGACGGGUAGCCGGACUGAGAGGUUGUACGGCCACAUUGGAACUGAGAAACGGUCCAGACUCCUACGGGAGGCAGCAGUGGGGAAUAUUGGGCAAUGGGGGCAACCCUGACCCACCCACGCCGCGUGAGGGAAGACAGCCUUCGGGUUGUAAACCUCUGUUGCAGGGGAAGAAGGACGUGACGGUACCCUGCGAGGAAGCUCCGGCUAACUACGUGCCAGCAGCCGCGGUAAUACGUAGGGAGCGAGCGUUGUCCGGAAUUACUGGGCGUAAAGGGCGCGAAGGCGGUUUUACAAGUCAACUGUCAAAUCGCGGGGCUUAACCCCGCUUCGCAGUUGAAACUGUAAGACUGGAGGCACAGAGAGGCAGACAGAAUUCCUGGUGUAGCGGUGAAAUGCGUAGAUAUCAGGAAGAAUACCAGUGGCGAAGGCGGUCUGCUGGCUGUGGACUGACGCUCAAGCGCGAAAGCCAGRRGAGCAAACGAGGAUUAGAUACCCCGGUAGUCCUGGCAGUAAACGAUGUAUGCUGGGUGUGAGAGUAGCGAUACUUUCGUGCCGAAGUUAACGCGAUAAGCAUACCGCCUGGGGAGUACGGUCGCAAGAUUGAAACUCAAAGGAAUUGACGGGGGCCCGCACAAGCGGUGGAGCACGUGGUUUAAUUCGAUGCAAACCGAAGAACCUUACCUAGGCUUGACAUGUAGGUAGUAGAGAAUGGAAACAGGAUCGACGUGAUAGCAAUAUCACGAGCCUACACAGGUGCUGCAUGGCUGUCGUCAGCUCGUGUCGUGAGAUGUUGGGUUAAGUCCCGCAACGAGCGCAGCGCCUAUUGCCCGCCGCUAACACAUAAAGGUGAGCACUCAGGCGAGACUGCCAUCGACAAGAUGGAGGAAGGUGGGGACGACGUCAAGUCAUCAUGGCCCCUAUGCCUAGGGCGACACACAUGCUACAAUGGCUGGUACAAAGGGCAGCGAGACCGAAAGGUAGAGCGAAUCCCAUAAAGCCAGUCCCAGUUCGGAUUGCAGUCUGCAACUCGACUGCAUGAAGUUGGAAUCGCUAGUAAUCGCGGAUCAGCCAAGCCGCGGUGAAUACGUUCCCGGGCCUUGUACACACCGCCCGUCACACCAUCCGAGUCGGGUGCUCUCAAAGCCGGUGUUCUAACCGUAAGGAAGAAGCCGUCUAAAGAGUGUCCGGUGAGGAGGGUGAAGUCGUAACAGAGGUAGCCGUA
rnacentral:rRNA from 1 species